AGUGAACGCUGGCGGUAGGCCUAACACAUGCAAGUCGAACGGCAGCACAGUAAGAGCUUGCUCUUACGGGUGGCGAGUGGCGGACGAGUGAGGAAUACAUCGGAAUCUACUUUUUCGUGGGGGAUAACGUAGGGAAACUUACGCUAAUACCGCAUACGACCUACGGGUGAAAGCAGGGGAUCUUCGGACCUUGCGCGAUUGAAUGAGCCGAUGUCGGAUUAGCUAGUUGGCGGGGUAACGGCCCACCAAGGCGACGAUCCGUAGCUGGUCUGAGAGGAUGAUGAGCCACACUGGAACUGAGACACGGUCCAGACUCCUACGGGAGGCAGCAGUGGGGAAUAUUGGAAAAUGGGCGCAAGCCUGAUCCAGCCAUACAGCGUGGGUGAAGAAGGCCUUCGGGUUGUAAAGCCCUUUUGUUGGGAAAGAAAAGCAGCAGGUUAAUACCCCGCUGUUCUGACGGUACCCAAAGAAUAAGCACCGGCUAACUUCGUG
rnacentral:rRNA from 1 species